GCCGAUCUAUACAAAUAACUGUUUACAGCUGCGGCCAUUUUGGUCUGUCGUUUUGUUAAUUGUUGUCUAUUUAACGGGCCAAGCUCCAUCCAUUGAGGAAUAAAGGAUUAUAUACCAGGGGACUAAAUUGUAUUUUAUUCACGAUUGAUAUGAAAUAUCAAAUGAAAUUUCUCAGCGGAUGAUUUAUGAAGAAGGAAAACUGAAGAAAAAAUAUUACUACUUUAAUUAUGCUAAAAUAUUCUAAUAUUACCUUCAUUAUGUAUUGGGUAUACCUAGUUAUAUGCUAAGAGCAACAACCAAUAAAU